GAUGAACGCUAGCGGCAGGCCUAAUACAUGCAAGUCGGACGGGAUUGGAGAGCUUGCUUUCCAUGAGAGUGGCGCACGGGUGCGUAACACGUAUGUAACCUACCCUUGUCAGGGGGAUAGCCUCUCGAAAGAGAGAUUAAGACCGCAUAACAUUGUGAUGCAGCAUUGCAAUACAAUCAAAUAUUUAUAGGACAAGGAUGGCAUGCGGAACAUUAGCUAGUUGGUAAGGUAACGGCUUACCAAGGCUACGAUGUUUAGGGGAUCUGAGAGGAU
rnacentral:rRNA from 1 species